rnacentral:lncRNA from 1 species
GUUCAACGCUGGCUGCAGAGUCCAGACUCUAGGAGUUAUUAUAAGAGGAGGACUGAAACUAAGACCAAUAAAAUUUAAAACUCCCCCAAAGGCUUCUUUCCGACCCUCCCACCUCCGUUCAAGCCAAAGUAUUGGAAGCAGGUGGACAUGCAAAUCUGACCAUACAUACGUAGCCUCCUCCCAUCUUCCAGAACUUUCUCUCCAUCCAGAACUUUUCAAGGGCUCCUCAAUGACGGACAACAAGCACAGCCUGAGGGUUCAUGAAAGGCUUCCCAGGAGCUGAGUCUCUGUCCCCUUUGCCCAUGUGAUGAGUCUAGGAAGGGCUGGAAGACAGUCGUACACCGCAUGACGACGGUUCGGUCAACGACAGAUCGCAUAUACGAUGGUGGUCCCAUAAGAUUAGGACCUACAGCCUGGGUGUGUAGUGGGCUGUACCAUCUUGGUUUGUGCAAGCGAGGAAAUUGAGUGGCAGAGAAUUUGAAUAACUCUCCUGGCUUCUACUUCUGGCCAAACUGGAGAAACAGGGAUCCGAUUUACUCUGCUUCCUGAGACAACUGGAAAACCAAGCAACAGCCCUCAAGGUAUUGGAUGCUGGUCAACGAAGGACAGUGAUCCCCGAGAGAUGAGAAACAAAUGAGGUAAGACUCUCACAUGUUCCAGCUCACUGCCUGGAGGAAGUUUCCAGUCCACCGUGCAGAUGGCGGGACGCCAGCCAAGCCCAGCAGCCUCCUUGAAUUGAGGCUACAGAACUAGGAGUCCAAGGAAAUCAAGGUGGCUAGAGUUUGCAGAGCAGGGCACCUGAGAGAAGAGAACUUGACAGAGAGAGAACUCUGGGGCCCUGCAAAGGGUCAGUCACAAGUAUUCAGUUUACUGACAAGAGCAUGUGUCGCUGACGCCGGAGGAAGAACCACUCGAAAGAAUUAGAGACAACAUUGCUGAGAGCUCACACUGGGCUGGGAAUAGUGCCGUUCCCAACAGCCGGAGUGGAAAACGCUCAUAAUUUGUGGGGCAUGUGUUAAAGGCCUAGGAAGGGAACUGCCUCAUGAGGGGAGAAAACUAACACUAAUUACUAAUACAGCAAUACAGACUAUACAGUAGCAAUACAGUAAUUAGUAAUUACUAAUACAGACUAAUACUGCACUGAUCACGUCAAACGAAACUUACAAGAAAGCCCUGAAGGGGCCACAUUGCAUCCAGAUAACUGGACCACAUGCUGAAAAACAGCUCAAAAAUAUAUUUUAGAAAUGUUUACCUAUGACCUGGUCAGAGAAAAUGUUGACAUGGAUGGGCUAAAGGUGUAAAAAGCUGGAAAUGCAUUUUAUCAUUUCUGGUUCUAAGUGUACUAAAUUAAAAUGGUCUCUAUUCCAAUGUAUUUAUUUGUUUGUUUAGUACAACAAUGUCCAGCACACAGCAAGGUAAGAUGUAAAAUGUCUAGUAUCCAAUAAAAAAAACGUAGGCAUGCAAAAGCAGCAAAAUAAGGAGAAAAAUCAAUCAAAUCUGACCCAGAUGAUAAAAUUAGUAGAUAAGGACAUUAAAACAAUCUUUACAACUUUAUUUCAUAUGUUCUAGAAGCUAGAGGAAAGGUUAGAUGUGUUAAGUAGAUACAAGGAAGACUUAAAAAAAACCGAAACACCCAGAUUGAAGUUCUAGAGAUGAAAACUACAAUGUCAGAGACAAAAAUACGUCAGACGACCGUCAUGUUAGAUAUCAGUGAAGAUUAGUGAACUUGAUGACUUAUCAAUAGAAACUGUCCAAAACUAAGCAAAGAAAACACAAACUAAUCUAUUCUGCAGAAAGUGGAGCAGUGGAUUUCUGGGGAUGAACCUUAAGUGGGGGGUGAGUAGGGGCACGAGGAAGAUUUUGGAGGUGAUGGACGUGUUCCUUAUCUUGGUUGUGGUGAUGGUUUCCCAUGUGUUUACAUACAUCAAAACGUAUAAAAUUGUACACUUUG